rnacentral:rRNA from 1 species
AAUCUUCCGCAAUGGACGCAAGUCUGACGGAGCAACGCCGCGUGAGUGAGGAAGGUUUUCGGAGCGUAAAACUCUGUUGUUAGGGAAGAACAAGUACCGUUCGAAUAGGUCGGUACCUUGACGGUACCGAACCAGAAAGCCACGGCUAACUACAUGCCAGCAGCCGCGGUAAUACGUAGGUGGCAAGCGUUAUCCGGAAUUAUUGGGCGUAUAGCGCGCGCAGGCGGUUUCUUAAGUCGGAUGUGAAAGCCCACGGCUCAACCGUGGAGGGUCAUUGGAAACUGGGGAACUUGAGUGCAGAAGAGGAGAGUGGAAUUCCAUGUGUAGCGGUGAAAUGCGUAGAGAUAUGGAGGAACACCAGUGGCGAAGGCGACUCGCUGGUCUGCAACUGACGCUGAGGCGCGAAAGCGUGGGGAGCAAACA